rnacentral:rRNA from 1 species
AACGUAGGAGGCGAGCGUUAUCCGGAUUUACUGGGUGUAAAGCGCGUGUAGGCGGUCCUGCAAGUGGCGCGUGAAAGCGCCCGGCUCAACCGGGCGAGGACGUGACCGAACUGCGGGGCUAGAGGCAGGUAGAGGCGUGUGGAAUUCCGGGUGUAGUGGUGAAAUGCGUAGAGAUCCGGAGGAACACCAGUGGCGAAGGCGACACGCUGGGCCUGACCUGACGCUGAGAGGCGAAAGCAUGGGGAGCGAACGGGAUUAGAUACCCGCGUAGUCCCU